GCUGAGGCCACUUGGAGUUCUGACCACAUCCAGGAGCAAACCCAGAAAAGGAAUAAAAGCCCUAUGGAUGGGGAUUGGUGAGGAGACCCGUCUUGGAGAAGUGCAAACAAUGGAUCGGGGAUUAUGUUGCUCUUUGCUUUUGCUGCUUGCCCUGAAGGCAGCCGCUCCAAAGAGAGGGAAUGGAUCGGGACCCAUUUGGGGCUCCAGUUGGGGGGCCACAGUUGGGCCUUUGGGGUCUCCCCCUCCUCUGUUUGACUGCUCCCUGCAAGGGGUGGGAGAUUGGCCCCUCUCCCCAACUUCCAUGGAAAUGGUAGCCAACCGCAGCCAGAAUGAACAGGAAGGCCAUGUCGGAGAUUUUCGGAUUUGGGUCAUACUCCCCAUCUUCCUACUCUUAGCUUUUAUCUUCAUCUUAACAUGUUGCUGCGAAUGCCUCCUGAAACGAAUGAUAGCCGCCUUCGAACGAAACUGGAGGAGCAAUAACCUCCCCCUGAGGGUCUUCAACCAGAGCUCCAGCAAUGGCUACGGGGCUUUUGAAAACAUCGAAAGGCAGGCUCCUGAUAUAGAGGGAUCUCAAGAUAGUGCCGCUUCAGUGGAUGAUGGGAUCAUUUGGAUGAGGAUCCCUCCUCGGGAGAGAGGAGACUCUGAGGUCACCCUGGAAGCAGACAAGGUGGCUUAAGCCAUCCAAGGUCUGGCCAAAGCAGGACUACGUCCCAUUUUAGGCCAAAUCAAGGCAUCCUCUGUGACUGUUUUUAAUCCCAUGUUAUCGACUAGGUUUUCUUUUAAAUGUAAUGACUUCCCCCAAGUUGCCCUUUGCAAACGGGACACUGGUUUGACCCCAUUCUGCUCCAAUUCCAAA
rnacentral:lncRNA from 11 species